UACAGAGGGGGCAAGCGUUGUUCGGAAUUACUGGGCGUAAAGGGCGCGUAGGCGGCCUUCUAAGUCGAACGUGAAAUCCCCGGGCUCAACCCGGGAACUGCGUCCGAUACUGGAAGGCUUGAAUCCGGGAGAGGGGAGUGGAAUUCCUGGUGUAGCGGUGAAAUGCGUAGAGAUCAGGAGGAACACCCGUGGCGAAGGCGGCUCCCUGGUCCGUCCCUGACGCUGAGACGCGAAAGCGCGGGGAGCGAACGGG
rnacentral:rRNA from 1 species